GACGAACGCUGGCGGCGUGCUUAACACAUGCAAGUCGAACGGAAAGGCCCUGCUUUUGUGGGGUGCUCGAGUGGCGAACGGGUGAGUAACACGUGAGUAACCUGCCCUUGACUUUGGGAUAACUUCAGGAAACUGGGGCUAAUACCGGAUAGGAGCUCCUGCUGCAUGGUGGGGGUUGGAAAGUUUCGGCGGUUGGGGAUGGACUCGCGGCUUAUCAGCUUGUUGGUGGGGUAGUGGCUUACCAAGGCUUUGACGGGUAGCCGGCCUGAGAGGGUGACCGGCCACAUUGGGACUGAGAUACGGCCCAGACUCCUACGGGAGGCAGCAGUGGGGAAUAUUGCACAAUGGGCGGAAGCCUGAUGCAGCAACGCCGCGUGCGGGAUGCCGGCCUUCGGGUUGUAAACCGCUUUCGCCUGUGACGAAGAGUGAGUGACGGUAAUGGGUAAAGAAGCACCGGCUAACUACGUG
rnacentral:rRNA from 1 species